rfam:Capsicum annuum cultivar Zunla-1 chromosome 8, whole genome shotgun sequence
AUGAUAUGAUGAGGACAAUCUUUAAGAAGAUACUUAAAUCUUUCUCGUCUAUUAUAGAUAUUUUUAUCUGGGUUUUGUUUGAAACUCAGGAUCUCACUCCUCAACCU